rnacentral:rRNA from 1 species
UACGUAGGGGGCGAGCGUUGUCCGGAAUUACUGGGCGUAAAGGGCGCGUAGGCGGCCACCGCAAGUCGACUGUGAAAUCUCCGGGCUUAACCCGGAAAGGUCAGCCGAUACUGCGGGGCUAGAGUGCAGAAGGGGCAACUGGAAUUCUCGGUGUAGCGGUGAAAUGCGUAGAUAUCAGGAGGAAUACCGAUGGCGAAGGCAGGUCUCUGGGCUGACACUGACGCUCAUGCACGAAAGCGUGGGGAGCAAACAGG